UACGUAGGGGGCGAGCGUUGUCCGGAUUCAUUGGGCGUAAAGCGCGCGUAGGCGGCUUCGCAAGUCGGCCGUGAAAUCUCCGGGCUCAACUCGGAGGGGUCGGGCGAGACUGCGAGGCUCGAGGUGGGCAGAGGGCAGUGGAAUUCCGGGUGUAGUGGUGGAAUGCGUAGAGAUCCGGAGGAACACCAGUGGCGAAGGCGGGUUGCUGGGCUGACACUGACGCUGAGGCGCGAAAGCUAGGGGAGCGAACGGG
rnacentral:rRNA from 1 species